GUGGCCGUGACGAAGAAAGGAAAAGAGAGUCCCUCCCUAUACGGGUUUUGCCAUUGAAGGAGCUUCUUCUACCAAGUAGUGAUGGGUUUAAUCAGUGUUGUUUUCCUUCAGCAGAUUUCUAUUUGUGAAUCUAAAGGUAUGUCCCAAAAUAUGGCAAAUGCAUUACUAGAGAAGUGAUGGAGGAUUACUGUUUCUAAUGUGUUAAGAAGUACGAAUAAAAAUACGGAAAGCUAUACGAUCGAAUCAACGAUUUACCAGAUGUGGUACGUGAGAUUUACUCUUUGUUAUAUAAGGGAAUAAAAAUGGAUACACAAAUAGACCUUUUCAUACUAAAUCGCCUAUUUUUUUUUAUUGCUGAUUUUGGCUAUGUCAUUAAUUUGACUCUUUAUUAAUUUACAGGUAUGUUAGCUAUCA